rnacentral:rRNA from 1 species
AGACCCGAAACCCGGUGAUCUAGCCAUGGGCAGGUUGAAGGUUGGGUAACACUAACUGGAGGACCGAACCGACUAAUGUUGAAAAAUUAGCGGAUGACCUGUGGCUGGGGGUGAAAGGCCAAUCAAACCGGGAGAUAGCUGGUUCUCCCCGAAAGCUAUUUAGGUAGCGCCUCGUGAAUUCAUCUCCGGGGGUAGAGCACUGUUUCGGCUAGGGGGCCAUCCCGGCUUACCAACCCGAUGCAAACUGCGAAUACCGGAGAAUGUUAUCACGGGAGACACACGGCGGGUGCUAACGUCCGUCGUGAAGAGGGAAACAACCCAGACCGCCAGCUAAGGUCCCAAAGUCAUGGUUAAGUGGGAAACGAUGUGGGAAGGCCCAGACAGCCAGGAUGUUGGCUUAGAAGCAGCCAUCAUUUAAAGAAAGCGUAAUAGCUCACUGGUCGAGUCGGCCUGCGCGGAAGAUGUAACGGGGCUAAACCAUGCACCGAAGCUGCGGCAGCGAACGUAUCACCCAAGACAACUUUACGGAGUUGACGAUUGACGGAGCGAAGCGACGUCAAAGCGUUCAUUAAAGUCGAGUUGGCUUAGGGAUACGUUCGUUGGGUAGGGGAGCGUUCUGUAAGCCUGUGAAGGUGUGUCGUGAGGCAUGCUGGAGGUAUCAGAAGUGCGAAUGCUGACAUAAGUAACGAUAAAGCGGGUGAAAAGCCCGCUCGCCGGAAGACCAAGGGUUCCUGUCCAACGUUAAUCGGGGCAGGGUGAGUCGACCCCUAAGGCGAGGCCGAAAGGCGUAGUCGAUGGGAAACGGGUUAAUAUUCCCGUACUUGGUGUUACUGCGAAGGGGGGACGGAGAAGGCUAUGUUGGCCGGGCGACGGUUGUCCCGGUUUAAGCGUGUAGGUGUGUGUUCCAGGUAAAUCCGGUUCACUUUAACACUGAGGCGUGACGACGAGGCACUACGGUGCUGAAGCAACAAAUGCCCUGCUUCCAGGAAAAGCCUCUAAGCAUCAGGUAACACGAAAUCGUACCCCAAACCGACACAGGUGGUCAGGUAGAGAAUACCAAGGCGCUUGAGAGAACUCGGGUGAAGGAACUAGGCAAAAUGGUGCCGUAACUUCGGGAGAAGGCACGCUGACACGUAGGUGAAGUGAUUUACUCAUGGAGCUGAAGUCAGUCGAAGAUACCAGCUGGCUGCAACUGUUUAUUAAAAACACAGCACUGUGCAAACACGAAAGUGGACGUAUACGGUGUGACGCCUGCCCGGUGCCGGAAGGUUAAUUGAUGGGGUCAGCGUAAGCGAAGCUCCUGAUCGAAGCCCCGGUAAACGGCGGCCGUAACUAUAACGGUCCUAAGGUAGCGAAAUUCCUUGUCGGGUAAGUUCCGACCUGCACGAAUGGCGUAAUGAUGGCCAGGCUGUCUCCACCCGAGACUCAGUGAAAUUGAACUCGCUGUGAAGAUGCAGUGUACCCGCGGCAAGACGGAAAGACCCCGUGAACCUUUACUAUAGCUUGACACUGAACAUUGAGCCUUGAUGUGUAGGAUAGGUGGGAGGCUUUGAAGUGUGGACGCCAGUCUGCAUGGAGCCGACCUUGAAAUACCACCCUUUAAUGUUUGAUGUUCUAACGUGGACCCGUAAUCCGGGUUGCGGACAGUGUCUGGUGGGUAGUUUGACUGGGGCGGUCUCCUCCUAAAGAGUAACGGAGGAGCACGAAGGUUGGCUAAUCCUGGUCGGACAUCAGGAGGUUAGUGCAAUGGCAUAAGCCAGCUUGACUGCGAGCGUGACGGCGCGAGCAGGUGCGAAAGCAGGUCAUAGUGAUCCGGUGGUUCUGAAUGGAAGGGCCAUCGCUCAACGGAUAAAAGGUACUCCGGGGAUAACAGGCUGAUACCGCCCAAGAGUUCAUAUCGACGGCGGUGUUUGGCACCUCGAUGUCGGCUCAUCACAUCCUGGGGCUGAAGUAGGUCCCAAGGGUAUGGCUGUUCGCCAUUUAAAGUGGUACGCGAGCUGGGUUUAGAACGUCGUGAGACAGUUCGGUCCCUAUCUGCCGUGGGCGCUGGAGAACUGAGGGGGGCUGCUCCUAGUACGAGAGGACCGGAGUGGACGCAUCACUGGUGUUCGGGUUGUCAUGCCAAUGGCACUGCCCGGUAGCUAAAUGCGGAAGAGAUAAGUGCUGAAAGCAUCUAAGCACGAAACUUGCCCCGAGAUGAGUUCUC